UUGAACGCUGGCGGCAGGCCUAACCCAUGCAAGUCGAGCGGAUGAAGGGAGCUUGCUCCUGGAUUCAGCGGCGGACGGGUGAGUAAUGCCUAGGAAUCUGCCUGGUAGUGGGGGAUAACGUCCGGAAACGGGCGCUAAUACCGCAUACGUCCUGAGGGAGAAAGUGGGGGAUCUUCGGACCUCACGCUAUCAGAUGAGCCUAGGUCGGAUUAGCUAGUUGGUGGGGUAAAGGCCUACCAAGGCGACGAUCCGUAACUGGUCUGAGAGGAUGAUCAGUCACACUGGAACUGAGACACGGUCCAGACUCCUACGGGAGGCAGCAGUGGGGAAUAUUGGACAAUGGGCGAAAGCCUGAUCCAGCCAUGCCGCGUGUGUGAAGAAGGUCUUCGGAUUGUAAAGCACUUUAAGUUGGGAGGAAGGGCAGUAAGUUAAUACCUUGCUGUUUUGACGUUACCAACAGAGUAAGCACCGGCUAACUUCGUG
rnacentral:rRNA from 1 species